ACUGCUCUGGAUGUUCUGGAAGGCUCACCCUCCCAGCAGUCCAUGUUGAGCAAAUGGGAGGAAGGAUGACUGAAAGAAUGAAUGAACACUGCCAGUAUACUCCCUGAGCCUACGAAGACUUGUUGGACCUGAAGAAUGAGCAUAUGUGGGCCAGAUAGUGGUGGGAAAAGAAUGUUUCAGAAGAUGGAACAGCACAUGCAAAAACUUUAAGAAGGUCAGAGUGACUGGAGAACACAUGGAUAGAGGUCCAAUGAGCAGCUUCAGCAUUACCUGGGGAUUUGUUUGGGAGAGACUUCCCUUAUAAGACUGAAGAAACAUUUGGGGAGGUGGAGGUGGAAGGCGGUGCAGGUGGAGAUGCUGGCAGAAGUCCUCCUCUGAAUGCUAACACAGCUCACUGAAGAAUCCAAAGCACAUUUGCUGGUUGCUUUGUGGCUCCAGGAGGGAAUUCAGUUUUAUUACUUUAGAUAUCCAUUUGGCAUCACUCAUGUGUCAGGCUCUGGAUUACAGGUGGCAUGGAUACCAAGACAGUUGAGGCACAGCAGCGGUCUUCAAAUAGCUGAUUGAGAGGAUUAGACAAAAGCCCAAGUUGGGUGGGACAUGCGCCAAGGAAAGAUGUAAAUAUAAUGGUGGGUGUGGAGAAAAGGGCACUUGCCAGGGAGCCAGCGUGAGAAACUCCACCCAUGGCAAAGGUCAUAAGGAAGGAGGUUUUGGCAUACGCAAAGGGGGGGGGUCGAGCCUCAGGAAACCCCCUGUUCCCGAACAUCUACCUCCAAAACCAGCGUCUGUUUUAUGCUCUCACCUACACCUCUGACUUUACGGGGGGCUCUCCCCCAUCACCAUUUCUCUCGGAG